GAUGAACGCUGGCGGCGUGCCUAAUACAUGCAAGUCGAACGAGGUGCUUUUGUAGCAAUACGAGAGUAUCCUAGUGGCGAACGGGUGAGUAACGCGUUGGUGACCUACCCAAAGUGUGGGAUAACAGUCCGAAAGGAUUGCUAAUACCGCAUGUGGUCUUCGGGUUUAGAAACUGAUGACUAAAGGAGCAAUUCGCUUUGGGAGGGACCUGCGUCCCAUCAGCUAGUUGGUGAGGUAAUGGCUCACCAAGGCUACGACGGGUAGGGGACCUGAGAGGGUGACCCCCACAAUGGAACUGAAACACGGUCCAUACACCUACGGGUGGCAGCAGUAGGGAAUAUUGCACAAUGGGCGAAAGCCUGAUGCAGCAACGCCGCGUGUGCGAUGAAGGCCUUGGGUCGUAAAGCACUUUUCUGGGAGAUGAGCAAGGACAGUAUCUCAGGAAUAAGUCUCGGCUAACUACGUGCCAGCAGCCGCGGUAAU
rnacentral:rRNA from 1 species